GGUAGGUACUCCUUAAGGGAAAAUCUAAGCCCAGAGAGACAGCCGGUAACAGCUAGGCUGCCUCUCUGCUCGCCUUUCUGUUUCAUAGACAAAGCUUGUGCUUAUAUUUACAGUGGCCUUUUUGUCCAAAAAAAAGGCCUCCUGGUUUAGCUGUGUGACUAAAUGCUAUUUGUCCUCUUCAGUGGACCUCUCUCCUCUAGAUUCCCUUCUUGUUUUCUCACCAUCCCACGUGAGAUGCUUGUUAGUAACUGUUACAGAUCUUCUUUACCACUGAGGAAAGACAGAAUCCUGCUAGAGGCCAGAAAGAAUGUUCCAGACAUGGAUGGAAGGCUCCUGACUGUUGACUUCAAUGCCCCUGAAGGUAGGGAGUGCUCCAGGUCUGCCCCCAGGCUCCGAGGGUGGGUCUCCUAGGGGCUGGAAAAUGCCCCACCAAUCUGGCUAAGAUAA
rnacentral:lncRNA from 1 species